rnacentral:rRNA from 1 species
UACGUAGGGGGCAAGCGUUGUCCGGAUUUAUUGGGCGUAAAGAGCGUGUAGGCGGCCAGAUAGGUCCGUUGUGAAAACUCGAGGCUCAACCUCGAGACGCCGAUGGAAACCAUCUGGCUAGAGUCCGGAAGAGGAGAGUGGAAUUCCCGGUGUAGCGGUGAAAUGCGCAGAGUAUCGGGAAGAACACCCGUGGCUAAGGCGGCUCUCUAGUACGGUACUGACGCUGAGACGCGAAAGCGUGGGGAGCGAACAGG